UCCCCGACGGUUUCCUUUCUCCUCCUAUUUCUCUCUCGAUUCUUCUCUUCAGCCACAGAUCCCUUCUUCUCCUCCUUUCCUUCUUCUUCCUCUUCUCUCUCAUGGACAAAAAGGGGCAGCCAAGGAGUCUCGUUUCUUCUCUUCGCCUCUGCCCCGAUUCCACUCCUUUGCCCUUGUCGAUUUUUCCCCCUCUCCUGGUCUCGAUCAACAAGAGCUCGCCGGGAGACCAAGCAUCAAGUCGUGCCCUAGGCUCAGCCCACCUCUCCUCUGUCUUACCUGUGCCCUAAUCUCUGCUCCGCUGCCCAGUCGAGAACCAGCGCCAGGACCUCUCGUCGGCACAACCCACUGAUCGACCACCUGAUUCGACCCCGACCACUGUGUCCUAAUUCCUCACCGCCAUUCCUUCGUCGAAGCAGAAUCAGCGAUGGUGUCGCUAGCCACCGCAAAGGAGUUGGCAUCGCAGCCACCUAGGGCCGACCAUCACCCUUUUCCCUUCCUCUCUGCCCUAGCCGUCUCCACACGAUCGCCUGACUUCCUUUGUCUCUGCGUGCCACUGCCGAUCCAUCGUCGGUGUUCCCGUGCCCUAGCAGCGAUCCUCAAGGAGGAAGAUCUUGGAUCAGUUCUUGUUGUUUCCCCUAAUCGGAGCUUGGACUCCUUCCUUGCGGAGGAAAUUUAGGUCACGGUUGAGUAGCAGAGCUUUGAACUCCAGCAGGUAUUCUUGCUUCCAGCAGUUACUCACCUCGUGUCCGGCAAUGAGCAACCGCUAAUUGUGCAGCAACCCUUCGUCCAGCAGCACUUUAUCAAACAGCAACCCUUGAGUUCCAGCAGCGGCUGAAUUAAGGUACCAGGUUGUUAUGGAGUCGCUUGGAGUAUCCUACCUGUCGGUCCCCACGUCACAUCAGAA